rnacentral:rRNA from 1 species
GACGAACCGUGCGAACGUUGUUCGGAAUCACUGGGCAUAAAGGGCGCGUAGGCGGGCGAUCAAGUCAGGGGUGAAAUCCUCCAGCUUAACUGGAGAACUGCCCUUGAUACUGGUGGCCUGGAGUGGGGUAGGGGCAUGCGGAACUGAUGGUGGAGCGGUGAAAUGUGUUGAUAUCAUCAGGAACUCCGGUGGCGAAGGCGGCAUGCUGGACCCUUACUGACGCUGAGGCGCGAAAGCCAGGGGAGCGAACGGG